UUAGAUACCCGCGUAGUCCUAGCCGUAAACGAUACUCGCUAGGUGUCGGCCACGGUGCGACCGUUGUCGGUGCCGUAGGGAAGCCGUGAAGCGAGCCACCUGGGAAGUACGGCCGCAAGGCUGAAACUUAAAGGAAUUGGCGGGGGAGCACCACAACGGGUGGAGCUUGCGGUUUAAUUGGAUUCAACGCCGGAAAUCUUACCGGGACCGACAGCAAUAUGAAGGCCAGGCUGAAGACUUUGCCGGAUUAGCUGAGAGGUGGUGCAUGGCA
rnacentral:rRNA from 1 species